UAAAGUUAGCUAACUAAAACUGUGGGGAGAAAAACUAUGAUUAAUCUUUCUCAAAAGGAGAUAUAGAGAUGACACUGCCACAUAGUAACAACGAACAUAGGGAUUGAAUUAAAAUAGGAGCAAUUUGAAGCAUUUCAAGCCUUUGUUCUAUGGGAGGAUUUAUUGGUGGAUUUGGGGAAAAGCCUCAUUUAGCAGCUAGUUAGCUGGUUCUAGUCUUCAAGAAGCUAGGAAAACAACCUCAAAUAAUGUCAAUCGUCUCCCCGCUAAAGGCUGUGGUGGACGGAGGACCAAAUCCGCGAGGCAACAGCCCUGGUCUCAGAGCGGUGGUUGUGGAGGAAGACAAGAAUGCUAUAUGGAGGGUGCAUGCGACCUUGACUUUGGAAGAAUGGGAAGGCUGUUUGGGAAACCCGGGAGAGAUGUGUUGGCCUCAGUCAUAUAGCCCCAACAUCGUCAGAAUUGUUGUGGAUGACGUCCAUAUGACCUACAUAUGUGUCCAUAGGAAAGGAGCCGAUUUGGAAUGCUAAUGAGUUUGCACAGUAUAUGCCAACCCUACCAAGUCACAUCAGGCUAGGAUGAUUGAAACAUCCAGCAUCUCCAGCACAAAAAGUGAUGGGGAAUGGCAGCAGCACCAACUUGUAUGGGGAGCACCAGCAUGUACCUCGUUUGGCCCCCCACUGGCUGGAACCCUGUUGCUGAGUGACCCCUAAAGUCCAAGAAAUGGCUUCAACCUGGUAGUGGGGCUCCUGGUUGGCCUAACCCAGCACUUUGUGGUCUCUGUAGAGCAACAUAUAGGGAAUGGCAGCAGCAGCACCAACUUGCAUGGGGAUCACCUCAUCCUCUAGGUGGAGGGCUACUACCAAACCAGCACUACU